GAUGAAGAACGUAGCGAAAUGCGAUACUUGGUGUGAAUUGCAGAAUCCCGUGAACCAUCGAGUCUUUGAACGCAAGUUGCGCCCGAAGCCAUUAGGCCGAGGGCACGCCUGCCUGGGCGUCACACGUCGUUGCCCCCCCAUCUACUCCUUCGGGAUUGCGGGGGGCGGAUGAUGGCCUCCCGUGCGCCUCGUCGCGCGGUUGGCAUAAAUACCAAGUCCUCGGCGACGCACGCCACGACAAUCGGUGGUUGCGAAACCUCGGUUGCCCGUCGUGUGCGGUCGUCGCGCAUCGAGGGCUCGAAAAAUUUGCCGGGCUCCGGCUCGGCUUUCAACGCGACCCCAGGUCAGGCGGGGUUACCCGCUGAAUUUAAGCAUAUCAAUAAGCGGAGGA
rnacentral:misc_RNA from 1 species